AUGCUGACAUAAGUAACGAUAAAGCGGGUGAAAAGCCCGCUCGCCGGAAGACCAAGGGUUCCUGUCCAACGUUAAUCGGGGCAGGGUGAGUCGACCCCUAAGGCGAGGCCGAAAGGCGUAGUCGAUGGGAAACGGGUUAAUAUUCCCGUACUUGGUGUUACUGCGAAGGGGGGACGGAGAAGGCUAUGUUGGCCGGGCGACGGUUGUCCCGGUUUAAGCGUGUAGGUGUGUGUUCCAGGUAAAUCCGGUUCACUUUAACACUGAGGCGUGAUGACGAGGCACUACGGUGCUGAAGCAACAAAUGCCCUGCUUCCAGGAAAAGCCUCUAAGCAUCAGGUAACAUCAAAUCGUACCCCAAACCGACACAGGUGGUCAGGUAGAGAAUACCAAGGCGCUUGAGAGAACUCGGGUGAAGGAACUAGGCAAAAUGGUGCCGUAACUUCGGGAGAAGGCACGCUGACACGUAGGUGAAGUGAUUUACUCAUGGAGCUGAAGUCAGUCGAAGAUACCAGCUGGCUGCAACUGUUUAUUAAAAACACAGCACUGUGCAAACACGAAAGUGGACGUAUACGGUGUGACGCCUGCCCGGUGCCGGAAGGUUAAUUGAUGGGGUCAGCGCAAGCGAAGCUCCUGAUCGAAGCCCCGGUAAACGGCGGCCGUAACUAUAACGGUCCUAAGGUAGCGAAAUUCCUUGUCGGGUAAGUUCCGACCUGCACGAAUGGCGUAAUGAUGGCCAGGCUGUCUCCACCCGAGACUCAGUGAAAUUGAACUCGCUGUGAAGAUGCAGUGUACCCGCGGCAAGACGGAAAGACCCCGUGAACCUUUACUAUAGCUUGACACUGAACAUUGAGCCUUGAUGUGUAGGAUAGGUGGGAGGCUUUGAAGUGUGGACGCCAGUCUGCAUGGAGCCGGCCUUGAAAUACCACCCUUUAAUGUUUGAUGUUCUAACGUGGACCCGUGAUCCGGGUUGCGGACAGUGUCUGGUGGGUAGUUUGACUGGGGCGGUCUCCUCCUAAAGAGUAACGGAGGAGCACGAAGGUUGGCUAAUCCUGGUCGGACAUCAGGAGGUUAGUGCAAUGGCAUAAGCCAGCUUGACUGCGAGCGUGACGGCGCGAGCAGGUGCGAAAGCAGGUCAUAGUGAUCCGGUGGUUCUGAAUGGAAGGGCCAUCGCUCAACGGAUAAAAGGUACUCCGGGGAUAACAGGCUGAUACCGCCCAAGAGUUCAUAUCGACGGCGGUGUUUGGCACCUCGAUGUCGGCUCAUCACAUCCUGGGGCUGAAGUAGGUCCCAAGGGUAUGGCUGUUCGCCAUUUAAAGUGGUACGCGAGCUGGGUUUAGAACGUCGUGAGACAGUUCGGUCCCUAUCUGCCGUGGGCGCUGGAGAACUGAGGGGGGCUGCUCCUAGUACGAGAGGACCGGAGUGGACGCAUCACUGGUGUUCGGGUUGUCAUGCCAAUGGCACUGCCCGGUAGCUAAAUGCGGAAGAGAUAAGUGCUGAAAGCAUCUAAGCACGAAACUUGCCCCGAGAUGAGUUCUCCCUGAGACUUUAGGUCUCCUGAAGGAACGUUGAAGACGACGACGUUGAUAGGCCGGGUGUGUAAGCGCAGCGAUGCGUUGAGCUAACCGGUACUAAUGAACCGUGAGGCUUAACCUUACA
rnacentral:rRNA from 1 species